GAUGAACGCUGGCGGCGUGCCUAAUACAUGCAAGUCGAGCGAACAGACGAGGAUCUUGCUCCUCUGACGUUAGCGGCGGACGGGUGAGUAACACGUGGAUAACCUCCCUAUAAGACUGGGAUAACUUCGGGAAACCGGAGCUAAUACCGGAUAAUAUAUUGAACCGCAUGGUUCAAUAGUGAAAUACGGUUUUGCUGUCUCUUAUAGAUGGAUCCGCGCCGCAUUAGCUAGUUGGUAAGGUAACGGCUUACCAAGGCAACGAUGCGUAGCCGACCUGAGAGGGUGAUCGGCCACACUGGAACUGAGACACGGUCCAGACUCCUACGGGAGGCAGCAGUAGGGAAUCUUCCGCAAUGGGCGAAAGCAUGACGGAGCAACGCCGCGUGAGAGACGAAGGUCUUCGGAUCGUAAAACUCUGUUAUGAGGGAAGAACAAAUGUGGAAGUAAAUAUGCACGUCUUGACGGUACCUAAUCAGAAAGCCACGGCUAACUACGUG
rnacentral:rRNA from 1 species